CUUAACCUGAGGUGUACGUAUCUUGCUAUUUUUGAACCUACAGUAACUUUAAACGGGAUUCCAAUAUUUAUAUGUGUAUGUGCAGCCGGAACACCGGAAUACAGAAGCAUAUGUGAGGUCACCCACCUAGCAUUGCUAGGAGUCAAAAGGUGAGAACGGCAUUUCGGGGGAUUA
rnacentral:other from 1 species